UCUCUUGAGAGCGGCGGACGGGUAAGUAAUGCCUAGGAAUCUGCCUGGUAGUGGGGGAUAACGUUCGGAAACGGACGCUAAUACCGCAUACGUCCUACGGGAGAAAGCAGGGGACCUUCGGGCCUUGCGCUAUCAGAUGAGCCUAGGUCGGAUUAGCUAGUUGGUGGGGUAAUGGCUCACCAAGGCGACGAUCCGUAACUGGUCUGAGAGGAUGAUCAGUCACACUGGAACUGAGACACGGUCCAGACUCCUACGGGAGGCAGCAGUGGGGAAUAUUGGACAAUGGGCGAAAGCCUGAUCCAGCCAUGCCGCGUGUGUGAAGAAGGUCUUC
rnacentral:rRNA from 1 species